GUGCUUGCUUUGGCAGCACAUAUACUAAAAUUAGAAUGAUACAGAGAAGAUUAGUGUGAUCCUUGCACAAAGAUGACACACAAAAUCAUGAAGUGUUCCAUAUUUUA
rnacentral:snRNA from 1 species